rnacentral:rRNA from 1 species
AGCGGCGGACGGGUGAGUAACACGUGGGUAACCUGCCUGUAAGACUGGGAUAACUCCGGGAAACCGGGGCUAAUACCGGAUGGUUGUUUGAACCGCAUGGUUCAAACAUAAAAGGUGGCUUCGGCUACCACUUACAGAUGGACCCGCGGCGCAUUAGCUAGUUGGUGAGGUAAUGGCUCACCAAGGCAACGAUGCGUAGCCGACCUGAGAGGGUGAUCGGCCACACUGGGACUGAGACACGGCCCAGACUCCUACGGGAGGCAGCAGUAGGGAAUCUUCCGCAAUGGACGAAAGUCUGACGGAGCAACGCCGCGUGAGUGAUGAAGGUUUUCGGAUCGUAAAGCUCUGUUGUUAGGGAAGAACAAGUACCGUUCGAAUAGGGCGGUACCUUGACGGUACCUAACCAGAAAGCCACGGCUAACUACGUGCCAGCAGCCGCGGUAAUACGUAGGUGGCAAGCGUUGUCCGGAAUUAUUGGGCGUAAAGGGCUCGCAGGCGGUUUCUUAAGUCUGAUGUGAAAGCCCCCGGCUCAACCGGGGAGGGUCAUUGGAAACUGGGGAACUUGAGUGCA